GAUGAACGCUGGCGGCGUGCCUAAUACAUGCAAGUCGAGCGAAUGGAUUAAGAGCUUGCUCUUAUGAAGUUAGCGGCGGACGGGUGAGUAACACGUGGGUAACCUGCCCAUAAGACUGGGAUAACUCCGGGAAACCGGGGCUAAUACCGGAUAACAUUUUGAACCGCAUGGUUCGAAAUUGAAAGGCGGCUACGGCUGUCACUUAUGGAUGGACCCGCGUCGCAUUAGCUAGUUGGUGAGGUAACGGCUCACCAAGGCAACGAUGCGUAGCCGCACUGGGAGGGGGAUCGGCCACACUGGGACUGAGACACGGCCCAGACUCCUACGGGAGGCAGCAGUAGGGAAUCUUCCGCAAUGGACGAAAGUCUGACGGAGCAACGCCGCGUGAGUGAUGAAGGCUUUCGGGUCGUAAAACUCUGUUGUUAGGGAAGAACAAGUGCUAGUUGAAUAAGCUGGCACCUUGACGGUACCUAACCAGAAAGCCACGGCUAACUACGUGCCAGCCGCCGCAGUAA
rnacentral:rRNA from 1 species